CAAAGUUGCUGUCUUAGGGAAAAACUUCCUUAAUUGGAUGUAUGGCGUGUUUUGGAUGCUGCGGAGAAGAAGACUUUCACCAAGCUACUGAUACGGGAAGACCUUUCACUGCACACCAUGCGACAGGUGAUUCAAGAACUCGCAAAACAAGACUUUCUGAACCGAGGGGACGAAACUACAAAAGAAA